rnacentral:rRNA from 1 species
GACGAACGCUGGCGGCGUGCCUAAUACAUGCAAGUAGAACGCACAGUUUAUACCGUAGCUUGCUACACCAUAGACUGUGAGUUGCGAACGGGUGAGUAACGCGUAGGUAACCUGCCUGGUAGCGGGGGAUAACUAUUGGAAACGAUAGCUAAUACCGCAUAAUAUUAAUUAUUGCAUGAUAAUUAAUUGAAAGGUGCAAUUGCACCACUACCAGAUGGACCUGCGUUGUAUUAGCUAGUAGGUGAGGUAACGGCUCACCUAGGCGACGAUACAUAGCCGACCUGAGAGGGUGAUCGGCCACACUGGGACUGAGACACGGCCCAGACUCCUACGGGAGGCAGCAGUAGGGAAUCUUCGGCAAUAGACGAAAGUCUGACCGAGCAACGCCGCGUGAGUGAAGAAGGUUUUCGGAUCGUAAAGCUCUGUUGUAAGAGAAGAACGGGGGUGAGAGUGGAAAGUUCACACUGUGACGGUAUCUUACCAGAAAGGGACGGCUAACUACGUG